UUCUAUUUUGACGACUCGUCACGCGUUGUGUUUUGUUAAGAACCAUUUUUGCUUCUUUCUCUCCGUCUCCUUCGUCGUCGCCAGACACUCAGGUGACCGCGACAGCGCUCAUUACUACCGGGAAGGCGGCGGCGACGAUGACGACUGGCUGGCAGUCUUUCUGAAUGGCACACCGGGCGGAUUGGGCUGCUUGUCUGUCGCCUGUUUAGCAGCCAGUAGCCGCCCCACGCUCCAGUGUUCAGGCGUGGGAUCACACGUUGACAGAAAGGGGCAUUUCUAGACCACUGGAAGCACCCGAUCCCCAAAACAACAAACUGGACGAUGGCUAGCAAAAAG